AGAGCUCCGAGGGAAAAGCAACGACGAUGGCUGGCAGCUGAGGGAGAGACCAGCAUCCCCAGAACUCCCUUUUGGUCCUUGUCCAGACUUCAAGGUCUCCAUGGACCACUUUGAGCCAUAUACGUCUGCCAGUCAGUGGCCUCUGCACCCACGUCAGAAGCAGCAGAAAUCCAAAGAGCCCUUGGCCUCUGGAGGCGGCAGCAGGAGUGCUCUCCGAAAAGAGACUGGGCCAGCCGGUGGGAGCCCAGCGCCCACCCACCGCUCAUCCUACAGCAGGACCAACCCCCCGCCAACCCCCAGCCUCCGGAUCCUCUCUCCAGGCCUUGGAGGAGGCUGCAGACCGUCAGAAGAGAGCUGGAGAGUAUCAUACAGAGGCUGGGAGCAGUGAGAGGCAACAGGAGAAAAGCUGUGUGUGUGUCCCUGGUCCCAGGUGCCAGAAGGUGCUGCAGCAUCACCAUCAAUUAACAUCGCCAUUGCAGAGAGCAUCUGAGUCCCCACUUAUGUGCUGGCACUGUGCCUAGCAACUUGCCUAUAUUUUCAAUUUUAAAUCUCCUACUUCCCUGUAAGGCAGACAUUAUAGAUCCACCUUGAUUUUACAGGGGAGGAAACUGAAGUUAAAUCACUCAUCCAAGGUCACACUGCUAGUAGGUGCAGGGGCCCAGGAUUCAACCCCAGGCAUGCCUGACUCCAAGGCCUGUGUUUGUUCUAUCAUUAAUCCUACACACAUUGGGCUUCACACAGGUUUAUUCUGGAGAUACUGACAUAUUCUGUUCAUGUCUGGGGGGUAGUUACACAAGUAUGUGUAAACUUAUGAUCUGUGCACUUUUCUGUGUUUAUGUUAUAACAUCAAUAAAGUUUCCUUUUUUUAA
rnacentral:lncRNA from 1 species